rnacentral:rRNA from 1 species
UACGGAGGGUGCAAGCGUUGCUCGGAAUUAUUGGGCGUAAAGGGGAGGUAGGUGGUCUCGUUUGUCCGGGGUGAAAUCCCUGAGCUUAACUCAGGACGUGCCUCGGAAACGGCGAGACUGGAGUACUGGAGAGGCUAGCGGAAUACCCGGUGUAGCGGUGAAAUGCGUAGAUAUCGGGAGGAACACCAGUGGCGAAGGCGACUACCUGGCCUGUUCUUGACGCUGAGGCGCGAAAGCUAGGGGAGCAAACAGGG